AUGCUGUUCUUACUGCCGGAUCAAGUUUUGCCUAUUCCUCAUUUUGAGUCGAGUGAGUCCAGACCUUUAUUGUCUAGUCCACCCAUUGUGAUAGAAGAGUCUCUACCACUGUUGAACCGAUAUGGCAUUACCUAUGAAAGAAGCAAUGGGAAAGCGGGUGGUAGCAGUCUCAGUGGUGUAAUUAGGAGGAUCGAGGAGACAGUGUAUCGUGAAAAAUAA